GCUGAAGAGCUGAACUCUGGAUAUGUAACAAACUGCAGCUCGAGAGGAAUUGAGUGAACAUGUUCAAUGGAACCAACCGAUCGACAGCUUUCUGUUAACUCUGAUACCUAAAGCCACCUAGAACAAGAUUAAGGUGGAGUCUUUAUCAGGUAUCCCGCAUGAGGCCAACACCUUGUUUGUGAGAAAGGAAGCCAAAUCAAUUAAAAUAGCAAGGUGAAAAUGUAUCUAGACUGCCUUGCAUGUCUGGUGUGUGUAUUGUGAGUCACAAUGGCCAGCAGCUGCUCUAUGAUUAAAGAUAAUGAGCAUCAUUUCAAGGGGAACAUUGGUUGUUCAUCCCCAAUUUAUACUGAGGCCAGUUCAGCAACUUUAGAGAACAUUUAAGAGUUAAUCACAUUGUUGUGGGCCUGGAGUCAUAAGUAGACCAAAACAGCACUUGCAACAGCAUGUCAUUGUUGGUUCUCAGGGGAGGCAGAAUGAUGCUGGGCAGAGCAGAGGAUUGUACAGCUUCAUUUCUGAAUUUCCCUUCUGAUACACAUUGGCAUCGCUGGUACGGCCAACAUCAGUUGCCCAUCCCUAAUUACCUGCGAAAAUGAUGAUGAGUUGCCUUCUUUAACCAUUGCUGUGCGGGAUAUCAGAAAAUUGUAGUUUGCAACCUGUACUAUCGUAUGGAUGACCAGUCUAUUGACGUUUUGAUCUCAACAUUCAGAAAACAGUGGCCCUCAAUGUGGAGAUAAUGAAAGAUUUGGGAGGGUGAACAUUUGAACCUUAGCUCAAAGUUGCAGGGUGGCCAUAUUGAGAAUGUAGCAUCUGCUUAGUCUCCUGAGUUUGAUCUGCCCCUUACAGCCUGCUCCUCAGGAUCUGUCAAGCAAUAUGUUUCUCAGUGAGACUACAGCCACUGAUAACCCCAAGGGAAAGGGAGCAAGAGGUUUCUCAGAGGCAGGUGAUAAUGACCAUUCUUCUACAUUGACUGACUGCUAGCCUCCUCCAUAAAAUCUGUUGCCUGGCUCCACUUAAUUCCAUUUCUGGGAAAACUGGCAUCUUCAGUUGAGCUGAGGUUACGUAAUGCAAUUUUGCUCUUUUAUCCUUCGAUAUACUAUCUACAUGUCCUGCAGAAGUGGAGGAUAUAGCCUCUUAAUAUGUUGAUAAUACAGUUAGUUACAAAAUUAUUGGGUGGCAAGUGUUAUGAUACUAAAUGUAUUAUACACUCCAAUUGACUCAGAAUGAGUAAAGACUUCUAAUUCUGUUUGCGAUUUUGAAAGGAGGUCCUUUGAUUUCAAGUCUUUGAUCUCAUUUUGCUUACUUUCUAACCUGGAUAUAGUAAUGUUUUCACCAAGAAUACUGUUACUCCAUAGAGAACUGUGAACAGAUUUUCAAAAGGAAUGAAAGUUGCAACAUCUCAAUAGAAAUGAAAGAGUUAAGGCAGAGGAUUAUCAAAGUUCUGUAUUUUGCUAAGCAUUUUUACCAAUAGCAACUGUUUUAAGUUCCAAUUCAAUAAAACACAUUUCACUUACAAUGCUUUAGUAUUUCACAGACUUCUACAAAAAGAGUGUUAAACAAUGUCAACCAUACAUUCAGGAAACGUCCACAGCAGCAAAUUAUAAAUGCAGCUUAUGUAUGGAUUCAUACAUUAUUACAGAUCAGGGAAAAGGAAAAUCUCCUCCUCCACCAUUCACUUUAAUUCAUAGCCAUAUCUCGAUGAAUUCUACUGAUGAACUAUUACAAGAAGCUUGAUUCUGAGAGAGAUAGAGAUUUAACUGUAAUAUCACUGGACUAAUAAUUCAGAAGCCCAGGUUUGUACAAUGGAGAUGAGGAUUUAUAUACUAGGGUGACAGCUGGUGGAAAUUAAAUGCAAUUAAUAGAAUCUAGGAUUAAAAACCUAGUCUCAUUGAUGGUGACCAUGGAACCAUCACUGAUUGUUGAAAAAACCCUUACCUAGGCCACUAAAGUCCUUAAUGAAAGACUUGCAAAAGUUUACUGUCCUGAAAUUGUUAAUGUUGGAGAUGCCAUUAAGCUCCACCCAUUCUGAUGAUGUCAUACACUCUUGGUGGACAAGGAAAAGUCAAGCUUGAAGUCCUGAUGGGGUCAGACAUAUCACCCUGUCUCCUGACAACCGUAGUAAUUACCAACAUCCAGUAUGCAUCCAGAGCCUUGUAAUUCUCUUUGUCAUUCCUGAGACUGCAUUAGGGUGGUGAGUUUCCAGAUGUACUGAACCCUGUCCAUCCAGAAUUUGACUUUGGCCCUAGAAACCCCUUGGUAUUCAGCACCCCAUAAUUUAAGCCAUCUUGAGGACACUGCCUUUGUGCCCUUUAAAAUGGUUGAGCCGCUGUUGCACAUUCUCGACUACUUUACCUUUAUCCACUGACCAGAUAUACCUUGUUGUAAUAGCCUAUCUUUUGGCAAUAGAAAUUCCUGUUUAUAAAGGAGUCUUCUCUCUUUUUCAGGGGGAACAGAGGAGGAGGGUUUUGCAAACUUGAGUGCCAUGCAACAAACGUUGAAGUAGGUUCACCAGUUGCAAGGCUGUACGCGUUUUUUGAAAAUGCUUUUCAUCCUUAUUUUGAAUGUAUUUAAUUGCAUACCCACUUUAGCAAUUUCAAGUUUUUGGGGAAUAUCCCAUCACACUCCUGAGUUUUGCUUUCUAGAUGAUAGACAGGCUUUGGGGAGUCAGGAGAUGAGUAUUUGCCGCAGGAUUCCAAAUCUCUGGUGUGAUCUUGUAGCCAUUAUAUUUAUAUGGCUAGCCCUGUUCAUUUUCUGGGAAAUAGUUACCAUCAGGAUGUUGGUAGAGGGAGAUUCUGAAAUGGUGAUGCCACUGAAUGUCAAGGAGCGAUGUUUAAAUUUUCGUUUGUUGGAGAUGGUCAUUGUCUGGCAUUUGUGUGGCAUGAAUGUCGCUUGCCACAUGAACUGCUUCUGUACCUGAGUAAUCUUGAGUGGUACUGAACAUUGUGCAACCUCUAAUGAACAUCCCCACUUCUAGCCUUACAAUGGAGCAAAGGUCAAUGAUGAAGCAGCUGCAGAUGGUUGAGUUAAGACAUACCUAUGUGGGAUGUAUUUGGAUUUGUCAUUUCCAGUGCCUAAGUCAAUGUCAUGUGGUCCAUUCAGUUUCACUCCUUUAAUAGACUUUGUAGCCGUUGAUAAAACAGGGUGACUCGCUAGGUCAUUUCAAAGGGAUUUAAGAGUCUACACCAUUGCUGUGGGUCCGGAGUCACAUGUAGGCGAGACUAGAUAUAGGUGGUAGCUUCCCUCCCCAGAGAACUUUAAUGAACCAUGUAGGUGUUUAUGACAAUUGACUAUGGCUUUAUGGUCAUAAAUGGACUCUGAAAUGACAGAGUGAGUGAUGGAACUUGGGCUUUAUUACCACUUUUAUAUUUUUACCUUUAUUCCCAAAGAUGGUUUGUUUUUCAAAAAAGAGCAGCUAAAUGAAAAAGAAAACGACAGGUGUAAAUUCAGCAAGUGUUUGGAGAAUUCCUGUUUGAAGCUAAUGGAAUGUUGAUCCUGUACAGAGUAAGGGAAACUUCAACCAGGAAGAGAAUUAACAAGGAGAGAUAAUGAGGGAGGGAGACCAUCCAUUCUCAACAGAAAACCAUCUCUUGAAGACAUGUCUGUUUUGUCCACCAAAAAAGUACAAGGAAAGGAUUAAAAACUGACUGCAACGCCAGUCUGUAUGCAAUUGAUUGGAUGUCCUAGUGUGUGGGCUGGAGCACUUCUUUGUGAACAAUCAUUUAAAUACACCUUCACUGCCGGUAAAACAGAAGGAAAAUUAUCUCUCUCUCUCUCUGAGUCCUGCCAGUCUGUUCAAAAGGAAUCAGGAAUUUAAAUCAAGAAUCUUUAGACUGACUGCUCAACCCCAGCAUCAAUAGUACUAGUGAAUUCAAUAAUGGCCCCAACGUAUCUGCUCUUUACAAACUCCUCAAAAACAAAUCUAUAUCUUUUAUUUUUGCUCUGUAUCUUUACAGACUUGUAUCUUAUUUCCAUUCUGUGAGUGUGUGUGUGUGUGUGUGUGUGUGUGUGUGUGCUUGUUGCAAUGCUAAUUCUUCUCUCUUUUAAUAAUAAGUAAACUCAUUCAUAUUCUUAGUUCAAGAAAGCUCGGUUCAGCUGUGGUGGGAACUGCAGAUGCUGGAGAAUCUGAGAUAACAAAAAAAAGGUAUGUCUCUUAACUUUCUUUUUUCUGAAGAAGGAUCUAGGCCCAAAACGCCAGCUUUUCUGCUCCUCUGAUGCUGCUUGGCCUGCUGUGUUCCUCCAGCUCUACACCUUGUUAUCUCUUGGUUCAGUUGACUCCUUUUAAAACAUCAUUUAAUUUGGGCCUAGGUGAAAGAUACUUACCAGCAAAGGGGUUCUCGUAAAAUUAAUCUUGCUGCAACGAAUAGAUAAAUAAUCAAGAGGAGUUAGUUUAUCCAUCUUCACCUGGAAACUUAGCAAUUAAAAUCCUGGGGAUUUUUCUCCAUAAAACAUUUUCUUUUCUACUCACUAUUUUCACUUUAUGUACAUGUGCUGCACACAUUUCAUUCCAGGAUCCUUCCAUCUGUGAAAGAUGAGGACACACAGCGAAAAAAUCACAUAACUGGCUUAUAAAAUCUCCUCAGACAUGUGAAAUAUGUGUUCACUCAUUUUGUUUCUAAUUAACAGCAUCUCAAGAAGCUGCAUGAAAAUAUAAUGAAACGUAUAGCCCUCAGGUGACAUUUUUGGAGGAGCUUUGACCUGGGUGUAGGUUCACAAUUAAAUCUGACAAAAAUGUGAGCUUGCCAGGCAACUGGCUUUAACUCACCAUUUCUUGGUCAGAACUCAGUUGCAGUAGCCUGCAAAGAGAGACAGGUAGCCGAGCACUGAGCGGUACUCAUUCAUUUGAAGAAGUCUUUUAACGAAGUUUUCAAGUUUGACAUUUCAUCUACAAACUUCCCAGGCUUUCAAAAAUGUACUCUUGCAAAGAAGAGCAACAAGGGUGCUAUUUAAUCUGGUACUGGUACUCAGUACCUACAGCUGCUUUCUGCCAACUCAUGGGAAAUGGUUUUAACGUUUAGACUUUGGCUCAGAGACUCAUGGAUGUUUACACCACAGAAGGAGGCUAUUCAGCUUGUUGUGGCUGUGCCAACCAACAUAGAUCUGAUUACACAAAUCCAAUUUUACAGCUCUUGGGCCAAAGUCUUGGAGCCUAUGGCAAUGCAAGUAAAUAUCUAAAUAUUUGUUUAUCUGUUAUAGGAGUAUCUGAUUCAACCACUUUUCAGGCAGUGAGUUCCAUGCUUCCACCACCAUUUGGGUGAAAAUACUCCCCUGUCCUGCCAUCUUAACCUUCAAACUCUUCCCUUAAAUCUAUGCCCCCUGGUUAUUGACCUCUCUACUAAUUGAAAAAUGUGCCUUCCCAUCCGCCUUAUCCACACGCCUCAUAAGCUUCUACACCUCUGUCAGGUUUCUUCUCAAUCUUCACUGUUCCAAGGGACAAAACUCCAGUCUAUUCAAUUUCUCCUCAUAGCUCAGGCUCCCAGUCUAAGCCUCACAAGUUUUCCAAGUUAAAGUUCCAAGUUGAAUUCCAUUUUCUACUGCUGUACCCAGCUGACCAGACUAUUCAUUACCUUCUGCAGAUUACGUCCACCCUUCUCACUCCUCCCCACACUGUCAAAAGCAUAGAAAACAUCAUUUCCCAGCCCAUUUUUGUUAUUUAAAGGAGUCACAUGGGGUUGAAAAUGUUAACUCAGUUUCUUCCCCACUGUUACUGCCAGCCCUGCUGAGUGUUUCCAGCGUUUUCUGUUUCUUUUCAGAUUACCAACAUUCACAGCUUUUUAAAAAAAACUUAACUGUGCUAAAAAUGUUGUGUUAAUCAAGGUUGUUGAACUUGUUUUUCAAUUUUAAAAUUACUAAAAACCACUGAAUUAAACAUUUCAAUUCAUCCAUGUUCUUGUGCGGCCCUGCUUAAGGACUGCACCCUUCGAAAAUGCUGCAUUUUUUAGACGAUUUGCAUAAAUCGAUCAAAGUAAACGAAUGAAAUACUUGAACAAUCUUUUUCAGAUGAAGUAUCUCCUGGGACCUAUAGCCUUUGCACAUGUAGCUCACAAAAGGAUUCUGAGUGAGAAGGCAUUUACUGUAACUGGAAAUGUUUUCAGUCAGUGAAUAUGCAGGUGGUCUGUUAUGCGAGGUAUAGAAUUACCAGCAUGGCCCUGAAUCUCCAGGGUCUUGUCACAACUUCGAUAUAUUCUGGUUAAUUACAGCCUGGCAGACAGGCAGCAGAUUGCAGAGCUCUUGCUUCUGAACCUUGUGCAGCCUGGACUUUUUGAGGACAUUUGGUAAUCUGUUGUCCUCAGUUUAUAAUAUUUGCUUAUGACAUAACUUUCUUACAAUUGCUUCAGUUCAAGAAGUCAAUUUCAAAUAAAUAGAAUUCAGACUCCAUGAUAUGAGUAAUAUACCUGUACUUUUAUGAAUAUAAUUUGCAAAGUUUCUGAGCUUGAAUUGAUCAUUUCUGAAGUUAAUAUACAAUAACCCAUGUGCAGGACUACAUAAUACCUCGAUAAAAAGCUAAUUUUUUUUGCAUGCUGUAUUUUUUAUAUUUCACUUCAGCCUUAUCAAUAGGUACCUGUGUGGGAUUCUGCAUUUUUACUUGAAUUUCCCCACGAAGCACCCAUCUAAAUAUAGAGCCAAUUUUUUGGCACCCUUUCACAGGAAAAAUCGUGGAGCCAGUGAAAGUGUCAGGUGCUGAGCUGAAUCAACCAGCUGAUCCUCAAAUAAAAUCAAAAUACUGUAGAUGCUGGAAAUCUGAAAUAAAAACAGAGAGUACUAGAGAAA